GUGAGGAAUUUUCCGCAAUGGGCGAAAGCCUGACGCAGCCAUGCCGCGUGAAUGAUGAAGGUCUUAGGAUUGUAAAAUUCUUUCACCGGGGACGAUAAUGACGGUACCCGGAGAAGAAGCUCCGGCUAACUUCGUGCCAGCAGCCGCGGUAAUACGAAGGGGGCUAGCGUUGCUCGGAAUUACUGGGCGUAAAGGGCGCGUAGGCGGACAGCUUAGUCAGAGGUGAAAGCCCAGGGCUCAACCUUGGAAUUGACUUUGAUACUGGCUGUCUUGAGUUUGGGAGAGGUGAGUGGAACUCCGAGUGUAGAGGUGAAAUUCGUAGAUAUUCGGAAGAACACCAGUGGCGAAGGCGACUCACUGGCCCGUUACUGACGCUGAGGCGCGAAAGCGUGGGGAGCAAACAGGAUUAGAAACCCCGGUAGUCC
rnacentral:rRNA from 1 species